UACGGGGGGGGCAAGCGUUGUUCGGAAUUACUGGGCGUAAAGGGUUUGUAGGUGGCCAACUAAGUCAGACGUGAAAUCCCUCAGCUUAACUGGGGAACUGCGUCUGAGACUGGAUGGCUCGAGUGCAGGAGAGGAACGCGGAAUUCCAGGUGUAGCGGUGAAAUGCGUAGAUAUUGGGAAGAACACCAGUGGCGAAGGCGGCUAACUGGUCCAGCACUGACGCUGAGGUGCGAAAGCGUGGGGAGCAAACAGG
rnacentral:rRNA from 1 species